CCUACGGGUGGCUGCAGUCGAGAAUCAUUCACAAUGGGGGAAACCCUGAUGGUGCGACGCCGCGUGGGGGAAUGAAGGUCUUCGGAUUGUAAACUCCUGUCAUGUGGGAGCAAAUUAAAAAGAUAGUACCACAAGAGGAAGAGACGGCUAACUCUGUGCCAGCAGCCGCGGUAAUACAGAGGUAUCAAGCGUGGUUCGGAAGCACUGGGCGUAAAGCGUGCGUAGGCUGUUUCGUAAGUCGUGGGUGAAAGGCGCGGGCUCAACCCGCGGACGGCACAUGAUACUGCGAGACUAGAGUGAUGGAGGGGGAACCGGAAUUCUCGGUGUAGCAGUGAAAUGCGUAGAUAUCGAGAGGAACACUCGUGGCGAAGGCGGGUUCCUGAACAUUAACUGACGCUGAGGCACGAAGGCCAGGGGAGCGAAAGGGAUUAGAUACCCUAGUAGUC
rnacentral:rRNA from 1 species